UUUUUUAUAUAUUAUUAUUGGGCUUCGUGUAGGUAUCCUCAAUUCGCGGAAAUUCGACAGUUGUCCGGAUCUGUGAAUUUCCGGCCAGACAGACCAGCUACCGGAAAAGUCUCCGAAUUGGAUCUAGGUUUUGGCUACCCCACCAUUGUCAGGCAUCCCGAGCGCGUUCCCGAAGUCGGAAUCGGCAAAGGUGAGCCGGGACAGCCUUCUUCCUCCGCCCAGCCGCCACAGUAAUUUGUCGUCAAGUUUGCCGCAGGAGGAUAUUUUAUUCUGGGUUAACCUGCUUUUAUACUUCGCAGGUUGUUUAUCGAUAUUUGUGUAAUUUUAUGUACUCCUAGAAUUUCCGCAUGUGUUAGCAGUAAUUAUUUGAAUUUGGUCUGUAAUAUUAUUAUCAUGUUGGACCUGUAAACUUAAUAUUCUAUGUCUGUUUGAUGGAUUGGAUGAGGGAGCUGAGCUCCCAUUUAUUAUUA